CAGAGAAGUGACGGUGGAUGCGAGCGGAGCAGAGGAAAAGGUGGAGCUCCCUGGUGACUGUGUUUGAUUGACAGGCCUGCUGACUGCCUGCUGCAUCGCUGAUGACGUUCAGUGAGCCGCAUCCCAACUUUCACCGACAGCCUCGACUCACCGUGACGCCGCCGAACUGAGAAAUCCGCCUACAAAUCAAACCCAGACCUGAGCGAGUCUUUACACAAGCUGUGGAAAAAGGGAAACUUGGCUUCAUCUGUGCUCCGGUGUGAUUACAGGCUCAGCGCAGCCAGACAGCAUGUCAGCCUGUGGCCUGGCCUCCUUUUUUUUUUGGCUCACCAGCGUUCGAUGGAGAGGUAAUUGGGAGGAGAGGCGGAGGUGGAUCCACGGCUUAACCUGAGCGAGGCGGUAAUGAGUGCCGGCUGCCGAGAGGCCUCGCCUGAGGGCCAGCAGGCAGCUUAUCAGCCUGCUGGGCGUCAUUCAAAAAUGCUAUUUAUGCCUUUUUGCACUAAAAUAACUGCUAUCUGAGAGCUAUUAUUUCACUCCACAUUUUCUAAAAGGGGUGAUAGGUGAUGUUUUUUACUGCUCUGUAGCAUUAAAUGACCAUGUGGUUGUCAAGGUAAUGUGGAGGGGUUUUUUUUGCUCUUAUGAGUUAUUUCUACAUA